GACGAACGCUGGCGGCGUGCCUAAUACAUGCAAGUAGAACGCUGAAGGCGGAGCUUGCUCUUCUGGAUGAGUUGCGAACGGGUGAGUAACGCGUAGGUAACCUGCCUGGUAGCGGGGGAUAACUAUUGGAAACGAUAGCUAAUACCGCAUAACAGUAGAUGUUGCAUGACAUUUACUUAAAAGGUGCAAUUGCAUCACUACCAGACGGACCUGCGUUGUAUUAGCUAGUUGGUGGGGUAACGGCUCACCAAGGCGACGAUACAUAGCCGACCUGAGAGGGUGAGCGGCCACACUGGGACUGAGACACGGCCCAGACUCCUACGGGAGGCAGCAGUAGUGAAUCUUCAGCAAUGGACGGAAGUCUGACCGAGCAACGCCGCGUGAGUGAAGAAGGUUUUCGGAUCGUAAAGCUCUGUUGUAAGAGAAGAACGAGUGUGAGAGUGGAAAGUUCACACUGUGACGGUAUCUUACCAGAAAGGGACGGCUAACUACGUG
rnacentral:rRNA from 1 species